CGUUCUCUCUCCCGCUCUGUAGUCCGUCCUUCGUACGCCGUCAGGACUCAAGCCAUUCUUCAUCCCCGUGACUCCGUCGCACGCCUAGUCUUUCGCCGAAGAUGCUGCUAGGAGCCGCACAGCCAGAGCAGCAUGCAUACAACACCCAUGGACCUGAUGUUUGCCCAUUUAUACAACUGACAUACUGCAAAGUUAGCCUUCGAUGAUCCAAGUCCAUUGAGGUAUGGAUUUUAUUAUAUUUAUAUUUUAUUCCUUUUACAAUUGUUUAUAUUGAAUUUUGAAAAAAAUCCGUAAUCUUAUAUUUCACUGCACAUGACUUUAUGAAAUUUUUAUAGUAAUUUUACGUGACAACACGGUCUAUUUUUCAUAGACAAAUUCUGCUUAUAAUGUAUUCAAUAUAACAUUCGUGCAACAUCAUUGACGUGACAGUCAAUUGUAUCAAUUAUUUUUUCAAUUAAACAUAUCAAUGACUUCUAAAUAAGAAAUGAGAAACGCUAAUAUGCUGUCUAAGUUUAUCCCCUCACUUUGACCGUUCAUAUAUUUUAUUUUUUAUUUUUUUUACUUAAUGAUUAAGGAAAUGAAUUUUAGUAUAUUGGUUUAUUUUUUUAUUUUAAAAAUAUUUAAAUAUUUUAAAAAAUAUAAAAAGAAAAAUAAAAUAAAAAUGACAAAUUUGUAUUAGGUGGCACGCCCAGCAGUUAUUGCUGGGCGGCAGCCUAGCACUACUCAUAAGAAAUAUCUUUCCCAGGCUAGUUUUUUCUUUUUUCUUUUUUUUUUUUUUUAUUUUUUUAUUUUGAGUAUUUCCUUAUGGUAAAAGAAGACCCAUUUUUAGUGACUUCAACAAUUGCAUUACCUUGACCAUCAUUCUUUGUUGCCUUGCAAUUAGUUCAUUUCUUGGGGUCGCUCCUCCCUCUGUUAUAUCGAGUGCUAAACCUUCUUUUCUUCUUGUGAACUGUAUAUAUUUUUAGUAGAUCUCAUCGUUGUAAAGCUACUUCUUGUAAAAGUUUGGUAUGCACAUAGAAAGCUCAGAUGGCAAGGUUAAGUUAAUGCUUCUUUGGAGGACAGUGUUAGGUAGAUCAGCAGAGUGUGGAUAUAGAAAGAGGAAGCUUGGAGACCCAUUAAACAAGUGACAGUGAUCAGUGGCAACGUCCUUGGCCAUUUUAUAUAUUAGUUAGGGACAAUACACAAGGAAAAGCCAACCCAUGCCCUUGAGGACUGAGCUUGCUGCUGAGGAAUCAGGAGACAAACCAAAAGAAUAAAUAUAUAUAUAUAUAUAUAUAUAUAUAUAUUAACACAUACAAACUUCAUAAAUAAAAGAUUGGAUUAGAGAAAAUUGCAUCAUAUAUAGUGGUAGUAGCUUUUGCUUGUUCUCACUAUCAUCCACUAGCUAGAACUAGGCUUCAAAGAAGUACCGAUGACAUCUUCAAGAUUCGCUCUCUUUCUCUUUUUUGUUCUUUUUUACUGUUUUGUAUCUGUAGCUCAAGGCGGAGCAAACACCAAUGAAUUUGUGGUGGGCUCUGCAGGGACUUCUGCAAAUGGAAGAGCAGCUGGGUGUAGUAAGGAGAUUUCCGAGUGCAGAGAAGGAAACGAGGAGCCAGAAGAUAAUGUUUUGGUGAAUGAGGAUUAUAUCUACACCAACUCUUUUCCUUAGAUAAUUUAUCUCCUUGUAAUGUAUAUUUGCUUUCAAUGGAUCAUUUUGUAGCUGCUGGAGUCCAAACAUUUGUUUUUUAAGUUUAUGCACGGAAAAUUAUUAAUUUUUAA